rnacentral:rRNA from 1 species
GACGAACGCUGGCGGCGUGCUUAACACAUGCAAGUCGAGCGAUUAAGCACCUUCGGGUGUGAAUUAGCGGCGAACGGGUGAGGAACACGUGAGAAAUCUGCCUUCAACACUGGGAUAACUCCGGGAAACCGGGGCUAAUACCGGAUAUGCAACCUGCGGGCAUCCGCGGGUUUGGAAAGUUUUUCGGUUGGAGAUGAUCUCGCGGCCUAUCUGCUUGUUGGUGCGGUAAUGGCUCACCAAGGCGACGACGGGUAGCCGGCCUGAGCGGGCGACCAGCCACACAGGGACUGAGACACGGCGCAGACUCCUACGGGAGGAAGCAGUGGGGAAUGUUGGGCAAUGGAGGAGACUCUGGCCCAGCGACGCCGCGUGCGGAAUGAAGGCCUUCGGGUUGUAAACCGCUUUCAGCAGGGAAGAAGCGAAAGUGACGGUACCUGCAGAAGAAGCACCGGCUAACUAUGUGCCAGCCGCCGCCGUAA